rnacentral:rRNA from 1 species
UACAGAGGGUGCAAGCGUUAAUCGGAAUUACUGGGCGUAAAGCGUACGUAGGCGGAUGCUUAAGUCAGAUGUGAAAGCCCCGGGCUUAACCUGGGAAUUGCAUCUGAAACUGGGUUUCUAGAGUAUGGUAGAGGAUAGUGGAAUUUCCGGUGUAGCGGUGAAAUGCGUAGAUAUCGGAAGGAACACCAGUGGCGAAGGCGACUAUCUGGGCCAAUACUGACGCUGAGGUACGAAAGCGUGGGUAGCAAACAGG